GAACUACUGAUGAGACCCAGCCAGGUCGAAACGGUUGUCCUGUGC
rnacentral:hammerhead_ribozyme from 1 species